AGGGCUCGCUGCAGCCUGCGGUUGACAUCCAACCCCGCCCACAUCCAAGCGUGACGUCAGAAACCACACCCACAUCCAAAGACGUCACACAUCCAACCCUGCCCACCCGGAUGUACCAUCAUAAGCCGCGCCUAUAUCCGUCUACGUCACGUUCUCAUUAAAUUUCAAACAGGAAGAAGCAUCAAGGAGACUGAAGUGAAGAAGUUUGUGUUGUUUUUAAUCGGUAAAAGAAGGAAAUAUUGUUUUGCGAUCGCCAGAAAGAAGAAGAAGUUGUUGUUUUCUGUAUUUGCCAGUUGCCCAGAAGAGGGGGAAGUUAUCUGCCAUGGCUUAUCCUACACAUCUGCAGUCCAAACCUGAUCCAGAACAGUUCUGCCGUGAUGGGGGGUUUGAAUGUUCUCUCUUACACUUCACCUAGAGAACCACAUAAGUCAUACAGUGGAGCAUGGAGGUUACUUCAUCUUAAAAUGAAUGGCCCAUGGAAGAUCAAUAAAACCAUGGUUGUCAGAGUCCACCAUCACCAAACAGCCAGCAAGUACGGAAACUGUGAUGGGUCAAGAUGACAGUGAUAAGAAGAUCGAAGAGGAA